rnacentral:rRNA from 1 species
GUGGGGAAUAUUGGACAAUGGGCGCAAGCCUGAUCCAGCCACGCCGCGUGAGUGAUGAAGGCCUUCGGGUCGUAAAGCUCUGUUGCAGGGGAAUAAAAAAAUGAAGGUACCCUGUGAGGAAGGAUCGGCUAACUUCGUGCCAGCAGCCGCGGUAAGACGAGGGAUCCUAGCGUUGCUCGGAAUCAUUGGGCGUAAAGAGGGCGUAGGUGGCUUGGUAAGUCAGGUGUGAAAGCCCAGGGCUCAACCCUGGAAGUGCAUUUGAUACUGCUGAGCUUGAGUGUCGGAGAGGUUACCGGAAUACCUGGUGUAGUGGUGAAAUACGUAGAUAUCAGGUGGAACACCGGAGGCGAAGGCGGGUAACUGGACGAACACUGACACUGAGGCCCGAAAGCGUGGGGAUCAAACAGGAUUAGAAACCCUGGUAGUCC